rnacentral:lncRNA from 10 species
CUCAUCUGCGUCAGCAAAGCUUCUUCACCCUGUCCAAGGCAGUUCUUUCCUGUAGCAGCAGCUAAAUCCAAUUUGCAGUUUUUCCAAACUUGCACAUCCUCAGAGAUGCCAGACCAUUUGGGGAUGCCAGACCAGCACCCCUGCCUGAGAAAAUUCCAGUCUCGGGCCGGGUGCGGUAGCUCACGCCUGUAAUUCCAGCUCUUUGGGAGGCUGAGGCGGGUCAAUCACGAGGUCAGAAGAUCGAGGCCAUCCUGGCUAACACGUGAGAUAGGAAUUUGGCAAGACUGGUUUCCAAGACAACAGGACACAAGACCUCACUCAUAAGACAGAAAACAGCAAAAGAAACUGGCUAAAACCAGCUAGAACCAAGAGGACAAUGAAAGGGACCUCUGGGGCCGGGCCCGGUGCCUCAUGCCUGUAAUCCCUGCACCUAGGGAGGCCGAGGCGGGUGAAUUACCUGAGGUCAGGAGUUCGAGACCAGCCUGACCAACACGGAGAAACCCUGUCUCUACUCAAAAUACAAAAUUAGCCCGGCGUGGUGGUGCCUGCCUGUAAUCCCAGCUACCUGGGAGGCUGAGGCAGGAGAAUUUCUUGAACCCGGGAGGCAGAGGUUGUGGUGAGCCAAGAUCGCGCCAUUGCACUCCAGCCUGGGCAACAAGAGCCAAACUCCAUCUCAAAAAACAACAACAACUAAAAAGGAAGUGACGUCUGGUUACUUUCACUGCUCAUUAUAUGCUAAUUGUAAUGCAUUAACAUGCUAAAAACACUGCCACCAGCACCAUGACAGUUUACAAAUGCCAUGGCCAUGCUGAAAAGUUACCCUGUGUGGUCUGGACGGGGUGAAAGCCCAGGUUCUGGGAACUCCCUGCCUCUUAUCUAGAAAACCCAUGUGUAAUUCACCUUUUAUUUAGCAUAUAUUCAACAACUAACCAUUAAAAUAACCAACCAACGAUCCUCAGAGCUACUCUGCCUAUGAGGUUGCUACUCUUACUUUCCUUUCUUUCUUUUUUUUUCCAAUUGUAAAGUGCUGAUCCUGUUUAUUUGGCAGGAAAACGAGACAAUCCAGCAGCCCAGGAGGGACAGGUGGACUUAAUCCUCCUCCUCGUCGUCUCCAGCCCCACCCUCACCCUGGCCCUUCUUGGCGUUCUUCCUCUUCACGCGGCCGGGGCGGCCACCCCAUAGGGAGAGCGCAGAGACAAGUCGAUGCGCUUCUGGGAAUCCAGGCGGACAAUGAAGGACGGGAUGUUCGCCACCUGAUUGCGGACCCUGACACGGCGCUGGCGGAUCAGCCCAGGAUGUAAUCCAGCUUCGUCUUGCCCUCAUCCAGCACCCCAAUGCGGAGCAGCCGCCGCAGCAGGACGUUGCCUUCAAACAGACGCCGUGGGUCCUUCUCAUCAAGCGUCAGCAGUUCCCGGGCGGCCUUGCGGAUGUUGGCCAAGAUCAAAUGGAGAAAAAUAUCAACAAGAUAUACAAACAACUACCUGGCUACCUUCAUCAUACUCAGACUGGUACAGAACAGCUGGGGUCCCGGCUAAACCCUAUCCUUAAGCCUGGAACCGCCGCCCUAAGUGAAAACAGCUGACCCCAUUUUUCCAUCCAAAUGUUGCCUUUUUGGCCUGCCACACCUCUAUCCUGUGCCCACAAAAAGACUGCCGCUGGCAGAGCAACACAAGCGGCUGAUGGCUGAGCAUCAAAGACUACGGAUAGACACGGCUAACUUCAGAUGGCGCAGCUUCAGGGAAAGAUCACCUUCUUCCCACACCCUCCCCUGGCCUCCAUUCCACUGAGAGCCACUUCCAUCACCCAAUAAAAUCCUCCCCAUACACUACCCUACAAUCUGUUCGUGUGACCUAAUUCUUCCUGGACACCAGUCAAGAACCCGGAUGCUGAGAGGGCAGGGGCUUGGACGCUCCCGCACAGAGCCUGCUCCCACCAGAGAGGAGUGACUGGCCGGCUCCAGCGUUUGUUCCCUUCAGUUCCUGCACUCGCUUGCUCCCACGCUCCCUCUCAUGAGGAGUCACCAGCAGCAGGCUGAGCCAAAAAAGCCACUCCAGUUCCCGCCCAUGAAGAGGAUCAAGGUCAAGCCUGCCUCCAGGUAUCCACCCGGCCCUCCAAGCCCUCCAGGCGUCAAAUACCAGUCCCGGCCACUUGGCAAGAACAACUGAAGCUUUCUCAGCAUUUUGUUGGAAAAUGAGUGGGCAUGUGGACAGGACGGGCCUUCUCACCUGAAGUCCAGCUCGAUUCUCUUUCUGGGACCUGAAUGUGACUGCAGGGCAAGAGUCCCCCAUCUGGGUGUUGGAGCCUCAUUUGAAUCCCUCUUAUCAGCGAGUUCUAAGGAUGACUAUGUGCACGAAGGUGCAGUGUGGUGGUGGUGUCGGGGCAGGGAGUUCCACCUAAAAGUGUAUCUUGAGUCCCUCGUGCAUCUGACCUCCUCCCACAAAUCCUGGGACUGCCCCCUAGCCCUUACCUCCAGCAGGGCAGAAUUCUGCUUCAAGACGUUGGUUUUGAUUUCAGCAUCUUCCACAGACCGGGUCACCUUCCAGCAGUUCUCCUGGGUCAGACACCAGGGCGAGGGCCCUGCCUUCCCAUUCCAGUUCUGCCUCCCAACCCUUAGCCUGUCUGUUUCCAUCCAGGCUCCAGGCCUCCUAGCCCCCCAGUACAAGACACACUCACCAGCUCAUUUCCUUGGCUAAGGGGAUGGCUUCCUCCUUAGCCAGAUGUGCCAGAGUGGCACCCCUCCACUUCCUCCCACCUCUCUUCGGUCCACCCAUUCCAUUUCUCCUCUUUCUUUUCUUUUUUUCUUUUGAGACUGAGUCUCGCUCUGUCGGCCAGGCUGGAGUGCAGUGGCGCAAUCUUGGCUCACUGCAACUUCCACCUCGUGGAUUCAAGCAAUUCUUCUGCCUCAGCCUCCCAAGUAGCUGAGAUUACAGGCGCCCG